rnacentral:rRNA from 1 species
UACGUAGGGUGCAAGCGUUGUCCGGAAUUAUUGGGCGUAAAGAGCUCGUAGGCGGCUUGUCACGUCUGCUGUGAAAACUCGGGGCUCAACCCCGAGCCUGCAGUGGAUACGGGCUAGCUAGAGUGCGGUAGGGGAGACUGGAAUUCCUGGUGUAGCGGUGAAAUGCGCAGAGUAUCAGGAGGAACACCGGUGGCGAAGGCGGGUCUCUGGGCCGAUGACUGACGCUGAGGAGCGAAAGCGUGGGGAGCGAACAGG